rnacentral:rRNA from 1 species
AGAGUUUGAUCCUGGCUCAGAGCGAACGCUGGCGGCAGGCCUAACACAUGCAAGUCGAGCGGCCGUAGCAAUACGGCAGCGGCAGACGGGAGAGUAACACGUGGGAACGCGCCCUUCGGUUCGGGAUAACUCAGGGAAACUUGGGCUAAUACCGGAUACGCCCUUACGGGGAAAGAUUUAUUGCCGAAGGAACGGCCCGCGUCCGAUUAGCUUGUUGGUGAGGUAACGGCUCACCAAGGCGACGAUCGGUAGCUGGUCUGAGAGGAUGACCAGCCUCACUGGGACUGAGACACGGCCCAGACUCCUACGGGAGGCAGCAGUGGGGAAUAUUGGACAAUGGGCGCAAGCCUGAUCCAGCCAUGCCGCGUGGGUGAUAAAGGCCCUAGGGUUGUAAAGCCCUUUCGGCGGGGAAGAUAAAGACG